GUCUAUGGCCAUGCCACCCUGAACAAGCCUGAUCCCAUCUGAUCUCAGAAGCUAAGCAAGGUCGGGCCUGGUUAGUACUUGGAUGGGAGACCACCUAGGAAGACCAGGUGCUGUAGGCA
rnacentral:rRNA from 1 species